UACUUCAUUCCGAAACGGUUAGUACUAUUGAAAAAUACAAUUUUAUUGUACUAAAUACAUUUGUAAUAUAGUAGGGAUUGUAGUAAUACUAUUGUUUUUGUUCGUAAAUACCUACCUGGGUAGUGAUUACCUACAAAGGAAACAUUCAAAGACUCAAAGCAUAAUACAGUCAUCGUUCUACCCCACUUAUAAAUUGGGAAAGCUAGGGGACUGCCAAUAUGUUUGAAUGACGUUCAGUCAAUUUUAAAAGGCAGUCAAAGAUAUUAACUUAAAUGAUGAUUCAUAGAGGAACGAAUGAUUCUAGUGAAGCCACGACCCUUUCUAGUCAUCUUAGUAGAGAUGCGACGCUCUGUUUAUUAAAAACUAGAUUUUAUUGGCCAUCUAUGACGCUGGAUACAAAUAAAUAAAUAAAAUAUGUGUGCCGAAAGUGAAUCCAGUAACUCUUAAAGUGGUUUCUGAAAUGCAUUACUGUACCUAAAAUGUUAUUCAAGGAAAUUAGUAGUAUCACACUGCAUGAAUUCAACGGUUUACGCUAUGUAGGUGUUGCAAUUGAUUUUUUUAGCAAAUGGUGCGAGGCCAGUGCAGACACAACAGCAAAAUCAGUGGCUCGAUUUGUGUAUGAUGAUAUUAUAUGUUGCCAUGGCUGCCCAAAAGUAGAGAUCAGCGAUCAAGGGAAAGAGUUCUGCAAUAAUUUAUCAAAAGAGCUAUCUAACUGACACUUAACAUUGUGUUACUACACCGUACCAUCCACAGGCUCAUGGUUUAGUUAAAAGAUUAAAAAGUAUAAUAAAAAAUAGCCUUUUGAAAGUGCACAAUAGAAAUAAAUUGCAAUGGCUUGACGUAUUACAUGGCGUUAUGUUUACUUACAGAACAGCACAACAUAAUUCGACAAAGUACUCCCUAUUUUUUGUGUUGUACCACAGAAACCCUAUAUUACUUGAAGAUGUAAAAUUUUUAAAGAAUGUUGACAAUAAUAUUGAUGAUUACAACUUCAGUUUAGACUUCGAUGAAAGAACAUUUGAAAAUACUCUUAACAAUAUAAUUCCAAUGAGAGGUAUUAUUGAAGACUAUGUAUACAUGAUAACACACUUGAUGGCUGAUGUACAACUGAAACAAAAAGCAUCUUAUUCAAAGUGUCACCCUCAGUUAGACAAUAUAUUUGAAAAAGGUGAUGAAGUUUUAUAAAAAACCUACUUAAAGAAGAUCGAAAAGGAGGUUGGGUUAUUAUGCCAUGGAUCAUCAUACAUGUUAUUUUAAACAAAAAAAAUGUGUAAGUCGAGGGAAAAAUGUUUUAAAAACGAAACAGCUUAUUUCCAGUGUUCAAAUAUAUUAAAGAAGUAAAGACGAAGAACCGAUGAACAUAAGCCGACAUGAAGAUAAUUCAUCAGUUACUAUACUUUUCCGGAUUUGAAAUAAGUAUUGUUGGGAACAAAAACUGUCGGUUUAGGUCAAUUUUGCUAUAGUUUCUGGGACUGAAGAAUAUUCUAUUAUACGUUCAUCAUUAGUCAAAGUAAAUUAAAAUACUUAAGUUUUGAUUUUUUUUUAAAUUAUUUUAUUAUUUACCUAUGUUAUUUUGUGGUUUAUAAAAACAAUUGAACAGUUUGAAUAUAUUGAGAAUUUAAACGCGAAUCACAUUCAACAGUAGUAAUUAUUAUUAUAUAUUAAUUAUUUUGUGUACAUAUUUUAUAUGUUACAGUAAAAAUUUAAGAACAAGGUCGAUUCUAAGUAAAAUUAUAAGUUAAGUUUAAACUUCUAAUCUAUUACACUUGGUGCAAGGUAAUUUAUAAAAGAGUGUGAUGUGUGCCUGAGAGUUAAUUCUGCAAUACUUAAAUUGGUUCCUGAAAUUCAACCCUUAACAUACAAUGCUACCAAAACAAUAUCCUAAAUAGUAAAUUUUUGUUAAACUCUAAUCAUGUAUGAAAAAGAAAAAUUAUUUUUACUUAGCAUUUUUUAUCAUUGAAGUUUUAAAAUGUUACAAAAUAUUUUUAUUUUUUUCAAUAAUAUUGUAGC